rnacentral:tRNA from 1 species
GGAUUGUGGCUCAGCGGUAGAGCGCUCGCCUAGCAUGUGCAAGGCGCUGGGUUCAAUCCUCAGUACCA